AUUGAACGCUGGCGGCAGGCCUAACACAUGCAAGUCGAACGGUAACAGGAAGAAGCUUGCUUCUUUGCUGACGAGUGGCGGACGGGUGAGUAAUGUCUGGGAAACUGCCUGAUGGAGGGGGAUAACUACUGGAAACGGUAGCUAAUACCGCAUAACGUCGCAAGACCAAAGAGGGGGACCUUCGGGCCUCUUGCCAUCGGAUGUGCCCAGAUGGGAUUAGCUAGUAGGUGGGGUAACGGCUCACCUAGGCGACGAUCCCUAGCUGGUCUGAGAGGAUGACCAGCCACACUGGAACUUAGACACGGUCCAGACUCCUACGGGAGGCAGCAGUGGGGAAUAUUGCACAAUGGGCGCAAGCCUGAUGCAGCCAUGCCGCGUGUAUGAAGAAGGCCUUCGGGUUGUAAAGUACUUUCAGCGGGGAGGAAGGGAGUAAAGUUAAUACCUUUGCUCAUUGACGUUACCCGCAGAAGAAGCACCGGCUAACUCCGUG
rnacentral:rRNA from 1 species